rnacentral:rRNA from 1 species
UACGGGGGGGGCAAGCGUUGUUCGGAAUUACUGGGCGUAAAGGGUUUGUAGGUGGCCGGCUAAGUCAGACGUGAAAUCCCUCAGCUUAACUGGGGAACUGCGUCUGGGACUGGUCGGCUUGAGGGCCGGAGAGGAACGCGGAAUUCCAGGUGUAGCGGUGAAAUGCGUAGAUAUCUGGAGGAACACCGGUGGCGAAGGCGGCGUUCUGGACGGCAUCUGACACUGAGACGCGAAGGCGUGGGGAGCGAACGGG